AAAAAAACCCGCCCCACAGGAAAAUGAAGGAAAACCGGAUCAACUCCCCUCCUCUCGAUCCCCUCCAUCUUCGUGACGUACGAAGCCGCACGAGAUCGCCCCCGCUGACGACCUCAUAGAGAAGACGCUGCGAUCUCUUGCGAUCUCGCCGCCACCGGGAUCGGCGUCUGUCGCCACCACCGACCUCCGGGAUUGGCAUCUCUCGCUACCGCCGAGGUACGGGAUCCCGCAUCAUACCAGAGAGACACUGUCUACGGAGUCCGGGAUCGACGCCGCGGACGUAAGGGAUCACCGUCGCCGACCUUCCAGACGAGAUGUCGCCGCCGCCGACCUCUGAGGGGAGACGCCGCCGCCACCUGUGGUAAACCCUAGGACAGGGCGGUUUCAACUUUCAACCCCAGGGCAGGCCGACAACUUGUCGAUUUGUUGUUCUUCCCUUAUAAGCAUGGUCUCAACAAUGGUGCCUUCACCCUUGCUUGUGCCUCUACCCACGUGGUCAUCUUUGAGACGUGGUAUUCAUUCACAUGACAGAGUUCUCUUUAUCCUUGAGGAUAGGUGCGGUAACUAGCGACACAUGCUGGAGCUUCUAGCGGCGGCAUUACCUGUAUCCACCUCUCCCUGGUCGCCUUUAAGAGUGUGUGCGGCCGACCGUUAAGCUUGUCAUGACGCUCUUUGAAUUUCUGGGCAAGUCGCAGCCUUUUCAGAUUCAUCAACACAAGUUACAUCAGUAGUCAAUAUGGUUCAGAUGCAUAAUAUUGCGGGGUGGAAGUUGUCGAUGUUGUUCAAUUGUAUGCUGCCCCUUGAGGGGAAGUCGUGCGUGCGCCCAGUGAGGAGAAGCGGCAAGGGCUCCAGGUGUGAGAGGCUGAAGCUCGGGGACGACGACAUCAUGCACAAGAGGGCAUAUAGGAGGUUGUCCGAAUUCAUGUUCCUCAUGCUCUGAAGGACCAAAGGGAUUUGGGUGGUCAACUCUGAAACUUGGAAUUGUCGUUUCUUUUCUGAAAAAUCUGAACUUCUGCAUAUGUCUCACCCCUGAACUUUGCCGCUUGACUUGAUUGUGCCCAGUUAAAAUGGAUGAGAAGGCCCGUCUAGGUGUACUCGUGUCACAUGUGUAAGAUUGUCAAAAAUUGAUUUUUUUGUGUGUGGUCUCUUUACUCCCCCGCCUACCUCAAUGGCAGAUGUGAAGAACCACCUCAAUCAGAUGUGCUUUGCCGCGUCAUGCUAGAACUAUAAUUGCCGGCUGCCGUGCAAAACCAUCUUUGGCGAUCAAGCUGGAGCCAUCAUUGACCACGACCGUGCCAGGAGCACCGGGGAAAAGGCGAGGACAUGUUGGUACUGAUGGAAUAAUGUGGAUUGGGUCGUCCUCCUCCAGAAACAUAUUACACAAUAUACUUAAGUCGAUUGAUCCUAUUCGGUAAAAAUGCCCCUCAUUUGCUUGAUUAAACUCUACCUUGGUAAAAUUAAUUGAGUUGGGAACAGUAACAUAUAUACAUCUGCUAUGUCUGGUAUCUAUCUGGUUAUAUUAAACUGACAGUUUAUUCUUCUUGCUGGAAGGAUAUGUCGUGAAAAAUGAUCCAGAUGCUAUUAAAGUUGUAACCUUUGACUGUCCAUGUGAGUUAAUUCUAUGAACAAUACUACUAAUCCUUGACCUAUGUCCACUUAAUGGUCCUCUCACCUUGAAUCAUAUCAAUCUGCUAUCAAUGCCAAAGACUUAGCUUCGAUUGCUCACCACCCGCUUAAAUCUAUUUUUUUGAACACCUCAAUCUUUCCUGAUUUUUUUGACACACUGAGCAGCAUCGCAAGUUAAUUCAAGGAAUUGUUCUUCUAAACAUGUAUUCUUUCCUGUCCACGAAAUGUAAUGCUUUGUACGAAACAAUCAGCCUUAAAAACAAAUUAGUAUUGAUGUUCUUUUAAAUAUUUAAGUCGGAAACUUGAAACUUAUAUGUGUUAAACUGUGUUGAAAAGUAAUCCAAAAAUAUUACAUUUUUGCUAAGAAUUGGUAUAAAAAAAAUUAGAAAUACAGAAGUAAUAUGUAGAAGGUGGUACCCUAGAGAGAUGUGUAUGUUUAAUUGUGAUAUUUUUAGGAGUACCUUUGUGGAUCUGAUAUAUCUUUCUUUUGUAGGAUAUGGUUGCUCUUGCUUCAUCUAAAUAGUACGUCUGGACUGCCAUGAGACCGCGAUUGGUGUAGGAAAUCUUAAAAGCUAUCAUAUUGGUCACAAGAACUUGCAAUACAUCAAUGCACUAUUCUUUUGAAUUUUUUAGUGACACCACAACUACCACCUCUUCACUAAAUGACAGAGGUUGCUAGCAACUGCACUUGGAAAGAUUGAAUUUAGAGGUAUGUUUCCUGUAUCAAGUGCAUGUCAAGGGUUGAUAAGAUACUUAAAGAAUCAAUUCGUACAACAUUAUUCACUGGAGGUAGCAUCACGAUGACACAUAAUUAAGGGCUCAUAUUAAUUGGGAGUGUCUAAAAAUUUACUGGCUAUUCUGAUGUUCCAUAAAUCGUUAGUUUACUGAAAAAGGAAGGAGCUACCAUCGUGCUUUGAUUGUGUUCAUCCUGGACUAAUCAUGAUCAAUUUGAUGAGCUCUCCUUUGCUCUGAUGAGUAAGCUCUCGAGCUAAUUCUUUCUUCUGAAUAUUUUGGUUACUCCCUCUGUUCGGAAAAACUUGUCACAAGCUUGUCCCUCAAAUGGAUGUAUCUAGCACUAACUUGGUGCUAGAUACAUCCAUUUAAGGGAUAAGCUUUUCCGGACGGAGGGAGUAAAUGUCAAGUUUAAGCUAUAGAACAGUUUCAUGCCUUUAUUUCUCCACAACAUUAUGAAUUAUUAUUUUCACCUGUAGACUGUACCCCAAAUUCUUCCAUACUCUAAUGAUCUUGUGUUCAAGUAAGUAAUAUCUAUCAUUGUAUAAAAUCUUCUGAAUUUAACUGUAUCUAAAAGAAGAUGUUUUUUGGUUUUCUAGGGAGCAUCAACUACAUGUUAUGUCAGGCUUGACCAUAUCAGGUGAAGGGAGUGACAAGCAAGUACUUUGUUGACAAUGAGGAGAAGACAAGCAAUAUGGUAAAGAGCGACUCAUUGGCGAAGCAACUUUAUUAAUUGAUUGAAGUGGUUGAUGCCGUAAUUUUCACAUCCUAUUUUUCUUGGUUGUAGAAAAGAUAACCAUGUACACAACAGAGAGAAAAUGUUGACUAUUCUUCGCAUCCUACCUAUUGAUCCUUGAGGUCAGGUCCGGCAUUACCUAUAUGGACCUCUCCCUGGUCGCCUUCAAGAGUGUGUGCGGGCUUGCCCGGCGACAGGAAAAGCACAAGCUUCAGAGCCACAAUCACCGGCUGCACCGCGGGCUUUCCCGGCGACAGCGUCUCCUAUGGUGGUGAGGAGGGAGGGAGGGUUAGGCUGCCGGGAGGGGCGGCGCGUGGGAGGGAGGCUGUGUCCACAUGUGCAAACAGGUGAACUAAUAAAGGAAGACUUCUUCCAUAAAUAGUAGUACAUUUACUAUGCAGAUGAUUUGACAAAAAGAUGGCCCUGCUCAUCGGGCUCAAGCAGCAGCGAGCAAGGCCAGCGACAACGGAAAUGUUGUGGCUGGCGCCCAUGCACCUCUACCUGACUUCAAUGCACCUUUGUGUUUUGUGAGUAUAUAGAGAUAAUAAUACGCAGAUUCAGUUAUCUAUAUGCAGAAAGUUUCCUUGUUUUCUUUUAGUAAUUAUGUAGAACAUCAAUAUUCAAUAUUAGAUGACACAUAGGCCACAUCAUCCAGUAAAUGUGUUAAUCAUAAUAAAUCAUGGACGGUUGCUGACAUUGGAUAUUCAUAGAAUGCUAAUAAGUUACAUCCUCGAGUAAUAUGAGAGUAUUUAGAUUUUGGUGGAGCUAAACUAUACAACAUGAUGCACAAAUUCUUGUUGAUUGCAGCAUUUUAAAAUGUCGACAAUUCCCAGGUUUGCAUUUAUUUGGUGGUGUGCCUGUGGAACUUUGUGAGAACUUGAGUAUUACGAGUAUACCAUUUCUGUAGGUAAUCAUUUUCCAACAACCUGAUGGUUUGUGCAGACCAUCAGGUACAUAAUAGCAAUAUCUUAACUAUUUUAAUAUUCUUUACGAACCAUCGUCAAAGAAUACAAGAUAUACUUAUUGUUAGUUCUUCGUUGACACCUACUGUUCUUACUGAACUGUAAUUGUUAACAAUAUGUAGUACUGUAGGAUUAAUGGACAGAAGGUUCUGUUGUCCAGUUGAUGCUACUAAUUUUGGCCCUACCAAAGUAUCUCUUCUGCAUGAUAUAUACUUAUUGUUAGUUCUUCGUUGACACCUACUAUUCUUACUGAACUGUAAUUGUUAACAAUAUGUAGUACUGUGGGAUCAAUGGACGUAAGGUUCUGUUGUCCAGUUGAUGCUACUAAUUUUGGCCCUACCAAAGUAUCUCUUUUGCAUGAUAUCUUCUUAAAUAUGAAAAUGAGGAAGUCAGUAUCUCGGCAGCAUGCAGGCAACUUAGCCAAUGAUGUAGGAGGAUCCAGUUCUUUUGGAGUCAAAUUUUUGGACUGGUAGUGUAUAUUCUGAAUUAUUUUGUAAACAAAUGUGAGGAGUGGGAGACGUCUGCAGUUGUAAAAUUUACUUGUGCGGGUGGAGGUUCUGGUUUUAAGAUCGUAUUGUUAUUUAUCAUUUUCCGUUGUAAUUGUUUACUAAUUAUGACAUGCUUUUUCUUUCUUCUGGGUAUGAACCAUUAUUUUUGGAUUCACUGGAACAAGAUGGAAGAGCUAACAGUUGUUUUACACCAGUACAAAUGCUCUUCAGAGGUGGGGGCAUUAAAGAGUAGAUGAACUGGGCUGAGGCCCUCGUGGCUACGCUCGAAGUUGAGAACAACAAGGAGAUGGGGAUGAAUGGAGCGGUCUUAAAGGAGAAACUACAACAUUUUGCUAUCAUUUUUUUACUGAUUUGUUGAAAUGUUAAAAUGUGGAUGUUGUAAGUCCAUGAUAUGAAGUUUGUGUUUGAGUCAAGUACUAUUGUGCGCAUGGAUCUUCUUAUGCUGACCAUCUUGAAAUGGAGAUUGCAGGCCUUGUCUCAGUUUA